rnacentral:rRNA from 1 species
GACUGCCGGUGUUAAACCGGAGGAAGGUGGGAUGACGUCAAGUCCUCAUGGCCUUUAUGCUUAGGGCUACACACGUGCUACAAUGGGUGGUACAAAGAGAAGCCAACUCGCGAGAGCGCGCCAAUCUCAAAAGCCAUCCUCAGUUCGGAUUGGAGUCUGCAACUCGACUCCAUGAAGUUGGAAUCGCUAGUAAUCGCGGAUCAGCAUGCCGCGGUGAAUACGUUCCCGGGCCUU